rnacentral:rRNA from 1 species
GACGAACGCUGGCGGCGUGCUUAACACAUGCAAGUCGAACGGAAAGGCCCUGCUUUUGUGGGGUGCUCGAGUGGCGAACGGGUGAGUAACACGUGAGUAACCUGCCCUUGACUUUGGGAUAACUUCAGGAAACUGGGGCUAAUACCGGAUAGGAGCUCCUGCUGCAUGGUGGGGGUUGGAAAGUUUCGGCGGUUGGGGAUGGACUCGCGGCUUAUCAGCUUGUUGGUGGGGUAGUGGCUUACCAAGGCUUUGACGGGUAGCCGGCCUGAGAGGGUGGCCGGCCACAUUGGGACUGAGAUACGGCCCAGACUCGUACGGGAGGCAGCAGUGGGGAAUAUUGCACAGUGGGCGGAAGCCUGAUGCAGCAACGCCGCGUGCGGGAUGACGGCCUUCGGGUUGUAAACCGCUUUCGCCUGUGACGAAGCGUGAGUGACGGUAAUGGGUAAAGAAGCACCGGCUAACUACGUG